rnacentral:rRNA from 2 species
AGAGUUUGAUCCUGGCUCAGGAUGAACGCUAGCGACAGGCUUAACACAUGCAAGUCGAGGGGCAGCACAGGUAGCAAUACCGGGUGGCGACCGGCGCACGGGUGAGUAACGCGUAUGCAACUUGCCUAUCAGAGGGGGAUAACCCGGCGAAAGUCGGACUAAUACCGCAUGAAGCAGGGAUCCCGCAUGGGAAUAUUUGCUAAAGAUUCAUCGCUGAUAGAUAGGCAUGCGUUCCAUUAGGCAGUUGGCGGGGUAACGGCCCACCAAACCGACGAUGGAUAGGGGUUCUGAGAGGAAGGUCCCCCACAUUGGUACUGAGACACGGACCAAACUCCUACGGGAGGCAGCAGUGAGGAAUAUUGGUCAAUGGCCGAGAGGCUGAACCAGCCAAGUCGCGUGAGGGAUGAAGGUUCUAUGGAUCGUAAACCUCUUUUAUAAGGGAAUAAAGUGCGGGACGUGUCCCGUUUUGUAUGUACCUUAUGAAUAAGGAUCGGCUAACUCCGUGCCAGCAGCCGCGGUAAUACGGAGGAUCCGAGCGUUAUCCGGAUUUAUUGGGUUUAAAGGGUGCGUAGGCGGCCUUUUAAGUCAGCGGUGAAAGUCUGUGGCUCAACCAUAGAAUUGCCGUUGAAACUGGGGGGCUUGAGUAUGUUUGAGGCAGGCGGAAUGCGUGGUGUAGCGGUGAAAUGCAUAGAUAUCACGCAGAACCCCGAUUGCGAAGGCAGCCUGCCAAGCCAUUACUGACGCUGAUGCACGAAAGCGUGGGGAUCAAACAGGAUUAGAUACCCUGGUAGUCCACGCAGUAAACGAUGAUCACUAGCUGUUUGCGAUACAUUGUAAGCGGCACAGCGAAAGCGUUAAGUGAUCCACCUGGGGAGUACGCCGGCAACGGUGAAACUCAAAGGAAUUGACGGGGGCCC